rnacentral:tRNA from 1 species
GACAGUGUGGUGUAGUAGGUAACACACUAGACUUGGAGGCAGGAGGACAUAGGUUUAACUCCCACCUCUGUUC